rnacentral:lncRNA from 1 species
AUGCUUUUACUAUUUAUAGCUAAGAGAAGUCAACAAAAAGUUGGGAGAGUUACAUUUUAACCCCUUGUUCCAGUCAAUGUCUGCCUACCUGUGGCCCUCAUCUGCCUGAGGAGGUGCCAUGGGGCUGAGAAGAGUACAAUUUAAGAGCAUGGAGCAUUCUGGGGUGUGUAACUCUCUGUAUCAAAGUAAGUGCCAACUCAGGUUAAUAAAUAAUAAAAGUGCACAAAGCAAUUUUUCUUCCUUUUCCUUACUAUUCUUUAAU